rnacentral:rRNA from 1 species
GAACUGGCUUCGGCUGGGGAUUAGUGGCGAACGGGUGAGUAACACGUGGGCAAUCUGCCCUUCACUCUGGGACAAGCCCUGGAAACGGGGUCUAAUACCGGAUAUGACACAGGAAUGCAUGUUCUCUGUGUGGAAAGCUCCGGCGGUGAAGGAUGAGCCCGCGGCCUAUCAGCUUGUUGGUGGGGUGAUGGCCUACCAAGGCGACGACGGGUAGCCGGCCUGAGAGGGCGACCGGCCACACUGGGACUGAGACACGGCCCAGACUCCUACGGGAGGCAGCAGUGGGGAAUAUUGCACAAUGGGCGAAAGCCUGAUGCAGCGACGCCGCGUGGGGGAUGACGGCCUUCGGGUUGUAAACCUCUUUCAGCAGGGAAGAAGCCGCAAGGUGACGGUACUUGCAGAAGAAGCGCCGGCUAACUACGUGCCAGCAGCCGCGGUAAUACGUAGGGCGCAAGCGUUGUCCGGAAUUAUUGGGCGUAAAGAGCUCGUAGGCGGCGUGUCACGUCGGUUGUGAAAGCCCGGGGCUUAACUCCGGGUCUGCAGUCGAUACGGGCAGGCUAGAGUUCGGUAGGGGAGAUCGGAAUUCCUGGUGUAGCGGUGAAAUGCGCAGAUAUCAGGAGGAACACCGGUGGCGAAGGCGGAUCUCUGGGCCGAUACUGACGCUGAGGAGCGAAAGCGUGGGGAGCGAACAGGAUU